rnacentral:rRNA from 1 species
AUGGCUGGUUGGAGAGGAAAACUACUUUCCUACUCAGCCAGACUAACUCUGAUCAAGGACAAGUUUGACCUUAUUGAUGUUAAGCAUGGAAAAUAUAUCAUCCAGUUAGACCUAUUGGAUAAAAACAUGAAAUGCUGCCGGUCCCUGAUGGUAGUAUAUGGAGCGGCUCAGGAUGAGAAUAAGCCCGAGUUUAUUGCUGAAUUAUCUCAUAUGUGCCAUACCACUCGUAUCCCGUACUUAGUGGGUGGGGAUUUCAAUAUACUUCGUCACAGCGGUGAGAAGAAUAAAAGGACGCCCAUGUCUCAUUUCUCGGAUGUGUUUAAUUCUGUCAUCCAUUUGCUUGGGCUUUGGGAGAUCUAUAUGAAUGGAGGGGUAUACACGUGGUCGAACAAGCAGGAGAAUCCCACUCUGGAGAAGCUGGAUAGAGUUUUGAUGUCACCAGAUUGGGAAGACUUAUAUCCCCUUGUCUCGGUUAGCAAACUAGUUAAGGACCUAUCUGAUCACAACCCCCUGUUAUUGGAUGGGGGGCGGGCUGCAGCUAGAGCACCAGGGAGUACGUGCUUUAGAUUUGAUAACAACUGGCUUAAUAAUCCAGCCUUUCUACCUUUGGUUGCUGAUAUUUGGUCGAAACCUGUGUAUACUGAUGAUCCCAUAAAUACCCUGAAUAUUAAACUGAAAAGAGUUAAGAAGUUUUUUAAAGGGUGGGGUUCUAAUAUAUUUGGGAACAACAAAAUUAAGAGAAAAAUUAUCAGACUUGAAUUGCAAGAAUUGGAAAAGCUUGAGGAAAUUGUUGGGCUGUGUGGGGAGGCUUAUACCAGAAAGCUGGAUAUAUUGAAUGAACUAAAUAAUAUGUAUGUGGAGGAAGAACUUUUUUGGCACCAAUUCUCUAAUGAGAGAUGGUUGUUGAAAGGAGACAAUAAUACUGGUUUUUUCCAUAAAGUGGCCAAUGGGAGACGUAGGAAACAUUCGAUGGUCUCACUUAAGUGUGGAGCUACUGUUAUAGAAGGGACAAAAAAUCUCUUAGCUCAUGCUACUGAAUACUAUAAAGAUCUCUUUGGACCAGCCCCUGGUAAUCUAUGUCAUAUAGAUGAAAACCUUUGGUCACAAGAGGAAAAAAUUACUCCGGAAGACAAUGAUGACUUGACUCGACCUUUUUCUAUUGAUGAAAUUAAAAAGGCCCUUUUUGAUAUGAAAUCUAACCAUGCCCCUGGACCGGAUAAUAUACCCGUUGAAUUCUAUCAACAUUGUUGGGAUGUAGUAGCCCCGGACUUAUUGGCCUUAUUUGAGUGGUUUUAUGAAGGAAGAUUGGAUGUGCAAAGGCUGAAUUAUGGCAUUAUUAUUCUUUUGCCGAAAUCUGCUGACCUAGUAAGAUCCAGCAAUAUAGGCCAAUAUGUUUGCUUCGUUGUCCAUACAAGCUUAUUACCAAGGUUAUGGACAUUAGGGCCAGUAAAUAUGCUUAUAAGCUAUUCAGCAUUCAGCAAAACGCGUUCAUUAAAGGGAGGCAUAUAG